AUUCUGGAUGGUAGUGUAUUGGACAACCAUGGCAUUCACGGGCUAUCGGGGGAUUAGGGUUCGAUUCCGGAGAGGGAGCCUGAGAAACGGCUACCACUUCUACGGAAGGCAGCAGGCGCGAAAAUUAUCCAAUCCUGAUUCAGGGAGGUAGUGAAAGAAAUAAUGAACUAGGAUUUAUCCUGGGGUCACAAUGGGCUUGAUUUUGCAAACUUUAUUUAGCGAGGAACAAUUGGAGGGCAAGUCUGGUGCCAGCAGCCGCGGUAAUUCCAGCUCCAAUAGUGUAUAUUAAUGUUCCUGCAGUUAUUCGAUGCUCGUAGUUGGAUUUCUGGAGGCUGAGAUCGGAGGGUAGCCAAGGUUACCGCUGAACUCUUCCUUCAUCCACCUGUUAACGUUGUCCGGGAUUCGUUUCUCGGCUUCGGGCUCAGGCAUAUAUUUUUUUACCCUUUCUAUAUUUAUGUUUUGAGUAAAUUAUAGUGUUUCAGGCAGGCGUGCGCCGGAAUACUUUAGCAUGGAAUAAUCGAAUUGGACCGUGUAUUCUUAUAGAAUUCUUCCUUAUUUGUUGGUUUCAAGGACACGGAAAUGGUUAAUAGGGAUAGUGUUUUUUUUAUCAGGGGAGGCAUUAGUAUUUAAUUUCCAGAGGUGAAAUUCUUUGAAAUAUUAAAGACUAACUUAUGCGAAAGCAUUUAUUUUUUGCCAAUAAUGUUUUCAUUAAUCAUUGAACGAAAGUUAGGGGAUCAAAGACGAUCAGAUACCGUC
rnacentral:rRNA from 1 species